rnacentral:misc_RNA from 1 species
GAUGAAGAACGCAGCGAAAUGCGAUAAGUAAUGUGAAUUGCAGAAUUCAGUGAAUCAUCGAAUCUUUGAACGCACAUUGCGCCCCUUGGUAUUCCGAGGGGCAUGCCUGUUUGAGCGUCAUAUUAACCACUCCCGCUUGCGGGGUCUUGGGCUUCGCCUCCGGGCGGGCCUUAAAAUCAGUGGCGGUGCCGUCGGGCUCUACGCGUAGUAAAUUUUCUCGCGAUAGGGUCCCGGUGGAUGCUUGCCAACAACCCCCAACUUCUUAAGGUUGACCUCGGAUCAGGUAGGGAUACCCGCUGAACUUAAGCAUAUCAAUAAGCGGAGGA